GGCCCCUGGGCUGGUGACCCGGAGUAGAGGGUGGGCCUGGAUCCCUCCCUCUCCGCUCCCCUCCCCUAAGACACUAGUGGGGCAGUUCAUACCCCAGUUCAGGGGUGAGAAACAGUGCCCUGAACCCUGCCCAAGAAGAGAGAGCACGAGAUCCAUCAAAGUAGUGCUGGCAAUUUGCCACAUGACAUUUAGGGGAGAUAAUG